rnacentral:rRNA from 1 species
AGUGAACGCUGGCGGCGUGCUUAACACAUGCAAGUCGAACGAGAACGGAUUAUAGCUUGCUAUAAUUGUCAGCUAAGUGGCGCACGGGUGAGUAAUGUAUAGGUAAUAUGCCUCUUACUAAGGGAUAACAAAUGGAAACGUUUGCUAAUACCCUAUACUCCUUACUAACUAAAGUUAGUAAGGGAAAGAUUUAUUGGUAAGAGAUUAGCCUGUAUUGUAUCAGUUAGUUGGUGGGGUAAUGGCCUACCAAGACAAUGACGCAUAACUGGUUUGAGAGGACGAUCAGUCACACUGGAACUGAGACACGGUCCAGACUCCUACGGGAGGCAGCAGUGGGGAAUAUUGCACAAUGGACGAAAGUCUGAUGCAGCAACGCCGCGUGGAGGAUGACACAUUUCGGUGCGUAAACUCCUUUUAUAUAAGAAGAUAAUGACGGUAUUAUAUGAAUAAGCACCGGCUAACUCCGUGCCAGCCGCCGCGGUAA